rfam:Gossypium arboreum cultivar AKA8401 contig_16883_7, whole genome shotgun sequence.
UGUUAAAAAUUUCAUCCAUUUGUGCUGUUAAAUAUUGGUAAAACUAAUGGAAUAACUAGACAGUAACACGUGGCGCAUCAUGUGUACCUUAUGCUGAUGUAUAUGGAUCAGUGUCUGACAGUAGAAAUGUAUGAAAUUUUGUCUGACAGUAGAAAUUGAUGAAAUUUUUAACA